rnacentral:tRNA from 1 species
UAACGCUUAGCUUAACGGUAAAGCAAUAAAUUCCUAAUUUAUGUAUAUAAGUUCGACUCUUUUAGUGUUAG